rnacentral:rRNA from 1 species
UAACACGUGGAUAACCUACCUAUAAGACUGGGAUAACUUCGGGAAACCGGAGCUAAUACCGGAUAAUAUUAUGAACCGCAUGGUUCAAAAGUGAAAGACGGUCUUGCUGUCACUUAUAGAUGGAUCCGCGCUGCAUUAGCUAGUUGGUAAGGUAACGGCUUACCAAGGCAACGAUGCAUAGCCGACCUGAGAGGGUGAUCGGCCACACUGUAACUGAGACACGGUCCAG